GAGGGAAGGGAGAACGGAGGGUCUUCGCCGAAGAAGGAGAGGGCGACGGCGACUGGUCGCACUGUUCGCCAGUAUGGUUGUCUUCAUUGGGCGUCGGAGGUGCGACAGAACUUGGCUAGGUGUUGGGGUUGAUAGUGGCGGAAAGAGAGAAACAGCUGCGGCGCCAUGGCUGGCGUUGCUGAUUUGGUCUCUUGCCGGUGAUGGCGACGGCGGAAGAGGGUAGUUGAUGGCGGCAUGGUGGUUGGAGGCAGCGCGGAUAGAUCAGAGAAGAGGGGGAGAUCGAGAUUUAGAGGGAUUUUGUGGAGAGAGAGGAGAGGGGAGAUAAAGAGAGAGUGUUGGAAGCGGAAGUUUUUAAAAAAUGACUAGGGUUUGGGAUAUUAGAUUCUUAAAAGAAAAUAGAUGGUCGAAAUCAUCUCUGUCGUUAGAUCAAUUUUGAUCAACAACUGGGAUUUAAAAUGGGGUUAACUCUUCAAUUUUGAUAUAUUUGUGACUAAAAUUGACACGAGCUGAAUUUUUGAUAUAUUUGUGACUAAAAUUGACACGAGCUGGAUUAAAAUUGGCUAGAUUUGUAAUAAAUUGGAUAGAAUGGACUAAAAUUAUAGUGACUUAGACAAAAAUUAGACUACAAGAUAAAUUAAUUGGCAAAGUAAUUGUAAUUUGGGUUUUUAUUUAAAUAAUAUAUAAAUAAUGAAUAAUAAUGAUAAUAAAUAAUAAUAAUAAAAAUAAUAACGAAAAUAAAUAAUGCUAAAUAAUGAAAAACUAGAUAAUGCAUUUGCGAAAAAUGUAAGUAUGCCCUGUUAUGUGAUUUCGAUUAGGCUGUUAUUUAAAUUCUAGUAGAGAUAAUAGAAGUAAAUAAAUAAUAUAUAAUAAUAAUAAAUAAUGAUAAUAAUAAUAAUAAAUAAUAUAUAUGAUAACCAUGUUAAUAAGAAGAAGAAUAAUGAUGCUACACUAGACAUGUAUUUGCAAAACGUGAGUGUGGCACGUUAAAAAUUUGUUUGAUACAAAAAAAUGUGUAAAAAAUACUAAAAUGUCAUCUAACAUAGCAUCAAACUUAAUUAACAAAUAGAACACAGUACACAUUCAUGUACACAAAGACCCCCCAAAAGAAAAUGGAUUAGAUGAUAACCAUGUCGCCGGUCGGUCUGUGAAGAGUACAGUGUACGCAGACCUUCUCGAAAACUUAUUCAAACUUGAAGAUUCUUGUAAAAUAAAACACAUCAUGUAGGAUUUUUGCAAAGAUGAGAGUAUGCAGGGUUACGAAGAAAAAAUAAUUUAAUAAAUCUUAAUAAAAUUACGUAAAAAUGUCGUGUUUGAAUGGAUAAAUAUUAUUAAACGAUAUUAAAAGAUAAUAAAAAUAAUUUGUGCACUUUUCUAAAUUAUAAAUGUGACUCUUCAUUAUGUAUUUAAUGUAAGGAUAAUGUGAAAAAUAGUAAUAUAGAAAUUUCAAAAAUUUUGAUAAAACAUCAGCUUAAGCAAUAGCGGGAGGUCAAAAUUGGGUGUCAACAGGGAGAAAAUGAGGAUAGAGUUUGAUAUUUUGUUUAAAAGGAGAGAUUGGUUAAUUUGAUCUCAGCCGUUAGAUCAACUUUGAUCAACGACUGAGAUUAAGACAUUUAAAAGUAGGUCAAUUAGAAUUUAAAUUAGGUUAAAAAAAUACUGAAUUGGAGAUUUCGAUUAAGUUAAUACAACGUAUUAAUAUGAUGAAUUGUCGUUUAAUUGUCUUUAUUAUUAUAACUUCAAUAAUGUAUUAUUACCUCGAUCAUAUGAUGUUAACGUAUUAUUCAAAAUAUUUGGAUAUAUAUAUUCAGUUAGCUAGCUUUUAACUAUAUACAUCACAUACACGAGUAUAUUACCUCGUAAUACAGCGUAUUUUAUUUCUACUCUGAUGAAUUAUUAAUUAAUUUAGCUUACAUUAUUAUAUUAUAAUUUCAAAAAUAUAUUAUUACCUUGAUCAAUCGAUCGUAUGCCAUCAAUGUAUUCAAUAUAUAUAGUUGAUUGACUAUAAAAUUCACAAUAUAUACUAGAUACAUCACAUCCACAUGUAAAUUAACUCGUAAUACAACGUUUUGUAUAUAUACAAUGAUAAAUUAUCAUUUAAUUUAGCUUAUAUUAUUAUAUUAUAACUUCAACAGUAUAUUUUUUUUGAUCAAUCGAUCGUAUGAUAUCAAUGUAUUCAAUAUAUAAUUGAAUACAUUUAACUUUUUUUAAUAUAAAAAUUAUUUAUUUCAUAGUAAAUUAAAAAUCAAACAUCGAAGGACAGUGUCGUUUUCAUAAAGUUAAUUUUUAUUUAGUUUUAACAAAAGCGAUGAUGUCCGUUGUUUUUUGAAAAAAUAAAGAAAAAUUAAAAAUAUUUAUAAAUUGCGACGGACAGUGACGCUUUUAUAGAAUUAAAAUUUUAGAAAAUAAAAAUUAUUGCGACAUUGUCCGUCGCUUUUAAUAAAACUAAACAAAAAAAAUAAAAAGCGACGGACUACUUCGCUUUUUAAAAAGUUAAUUUCUGUACAAAAGCGACGUUGUCCAUCACUUUUUGUAAAAAAUAAAGAAAUAUUAAAAAUAAUUACCAAUUGUGAUGGACAACGUCGCUUUUCUAAAAUUAAAAUUUUUGAAACUAAAAAUUAUUGCAACGUUGUCAGUCUCUUUUAAUAAAAAUAAACAAAAAUAAAAAUUUAAUUUAAAAAGUGACGGACAACGUCGCUUUUCAAAAAAAAAUAUUUAAUUUUAACAAAAGUGACAUUGUCCGUCGUUUUUUCUAAAAACUAAAGAAAAAUUUAAAAUAAUUACAAAUUACGACGGACAACGUCGAUUUUCUAGAAUUAAUAUUUUAAAAAAUAAAAAUUAUAGCGACAUCGUCCGUCGCUUUUAAUAAAAAAUAAAUAAAAAUAAAAAUCAAAUUUAAAAAUCGACGGACUACGUCGAUUUUAAAAAAAAAAUUAUUAUUAUUUUUUAAUAAAUUACGACGAUGUCCGUCACUUUUAUUAAUAAAAUAUUAUGAAUUAUUUUUUAAUUAAUUGGCACAAAAAUUCAUGAAAAAAGCGAUGGAUAUUGUGACGUUGGUCGUCAUUUUUCAUAAAAAAUAAAUAAAAAUUAAAAUUAAACUAAAGAGGCGACGAAAAAAGUGACCUUGGCCAUCGCUUUUAAUAAAAAAUAAAUUAAAAUUAAAAUUAAACUAAAAAAGCGACGGCCAACGUCGCUUUUAAAAGCGACACUGACCGUCGCCUUUUUUUGCGUUGCUUUUUGGCAAUUUUUUAGUAGUGUAUGAAUGCGCGAAAAAUCAUAUUUUAAUGAAUGAUUGCGCUACACUGUCAAUGGCCAAUAGAAGACUGCCACUUGUCCUUAUGUCGUUUGAGAAUGGCCAACCCACUAGCGUAUAGUAGAUGUGAUUCUGCUGAGGGUUGUCGUCGCACCUGAAUACUCUAACACACCGCCCUUUUAUCGGUCCUUUGAUGCAGUCGAGAUCGUUAUCCUCUCGGGUCAUUCCGUUGUUACUAGAGAAGCCAUUCCCUAGUGUUGCGCUUGCUAGAUCUCGAGAUGAUGCUAUCGCGGGCCCGUGCAUAUUACACCCAACCCGGAUCGGCCUAGUCUCAGUCAAAGCUAUUUACCUCAUACAGCUUGAAUCAUGCAUAGCUUUAAGAACCCAUCUGAGAAAAUAUAUGUUCUAUGACUCCCAAUUAACAAAUGAUAGGAUUCAUUUUACAAUAGGAUAGUGAUUUUACCGUAACCAUAUACAGCACUUCAUAUAUGUUGUACCAAGGGCUGUAAUAUUUAUACCUUGGUCUUGGAGGUUGGCAUUACUUUAAUUUCUUUCACUAUUCUUCAUUGAAGCAAGAUUGGAUCGGAUCAGAUAGUUUCACAAUGCAAAUCCAGGGUUUGAAUUUUAGGAGUUGCUACCAUAAUUUUAACUUAAUAUAUUAUAAUAGCUGAAUUAACAGUCAAAUAUUAUAAUGCCUGGAGAUUUAAAAAAUAUUCAAAUAAGUUUUGGGCGAAAGUUAUUAGGUUCCUGUAAUAUCACACGAACAUACAGGAGUUGCCCCUAUUUACGAUAAUUUCCAAAGUUAGGAUACUUGAUCGUCCAAUAUAUGUAACAUUGUUAUUGGCUUAGAAUCUUAAUCAGUACUCAUAAGCUUCUCUUAUUCAGGAGAGUGUCACUUCAGUUUAAAACCAACAUACUUCUUCCCCAGCUAUCCUUAGCUGUGUGUGUUUCGUACUACAUUAAAAACUAUGAUAAAAAGUUUUAAUAAUGCAAAGAAAGGACAAAGAGAAGGUGAUUAAUGGGGUGUCUUCUGAAAAGUCACAUGAUGAGACAUGUCUUUUAAUCUUUUCCACUUUGAAGAUUGCUUGGAAUUAAAGAGAUAUAAUCGACAUUAGUUAAACCAGCUCACAUGCUGCCCAUCCAACUGCCAAUUAACAACAAAAAAAUUUGGCUCGAUAUAUAUAUCGAUGGUUCUUUAAAUUUUUCUACAAAUUUAUUUGGACAUUCAAAUGACGACUUAUUUUAAUUGAACAAUAUUUGUUCACAUCAUAAAAUAUUUCUAUUAGCUAUCUUUUAUCUAAUUUUAGAAAAAAAUUUGAGUGUGUUCUUAAAUGUCUGUUGCAUAAAUAAGUUAAAACAGAUAAAUAUAACAUCUAUAAUAAUUAUACACAUGAACAUUAAUUAGAAAACUUUGGGAGUUCUAAACCUUUAUUAAGGCUAAUUUAGGUAAUGAUCAUUUAACAACACGUGUAAAAAUAUUUUCAAAAUUUGAAUCAAAAGAGUUUAAUAGUAAUAUUUUAUCAUGUUUUCUAAUAUAUAAUAGAAACAAAUCAUAAUGUAAAUAACAAUUUUUUUUUUUGAAAAGUUCAAGGGUCAUUUAAACGCAAGGGGUAAAUUUCUCCUGAAUGCUAAUAAAAGGGUAGUCGCUUUUAGUCUAGUGGAGCUUUGUCCCGGAAUACUUUUAUCAACAGUGUGGAAGCAUCUUUUGACCUAAAACUGUGGAUUGGCCUUUAUAAACUACUUUCUUUAAUUAGCAGUAAUAAUUUGAAAAGUCACAGUCACACACAUGUGUUGUCAGAUUUAAGCAUAGGCCUAGCUUAACUAACAAGAUGAAUUUCUUUAUUAAUUACCAUUCUUAAAAGCCAUUAUUUUCUAGUAAGCAAACUCCAUAUACUUUCAAACUCCUAUCCAAUAUUCUCUCAUCAGUAAUGACCCAUCAUCUCUCUCAGAGUGAAUGUAUUAAGAAUAGGAAACAAUUAUAGAACCAUCUUUCUUCUCUUGUUCUUGUUUUUGUCUCAAUUGUUCAUGGUUUCUGGUAGAUCAUUCCCUCUUAUAGACAAACUUCCUAGAGAAUCAAGAAGAUUAAUUGGUUCAUUCACAUCACUCUCUGUUAAUCCUAGUCAGGUGAAUGAAUCAAUUAUAGCACCUGAGAAAGCUGUGAAAAAAAGUUUAAGGAGAAAGCCUCCAAGUUCUUGGAACCCAAUCCAGAAUAAUUUGCAUCCAUGAUACUCAAAAGUAAAGGUUACUAUGGGGAUGUUUUUUUGGUCCAAGAAGAUUACAUUUUAUAUUGAGUUCAAAAGUACAGGAAACAUUUUGUGUUUGUGAAGAUAUAAAUGAGUCUGUACAAAAAGUACGUACUUGGCAUGGGUGGGAGCACCCAACAGUGGUUUGUAAUUCUGCGGGCGUAUUGUGGUGUGAUUCCACAAGUAGAGUUCCCGGUUGAUAUCAUCCUUUAGGGUAUCCUGAACAAAGAAGGGUGCUUCAUCAAAAACUGUGAUGGAGUUUUUGUGAAGACACGUACAUUAUAUUCAUAGUCACGGUUUAAUUGGGAAUACUAAUUCUAUCAUGCUUUAAUCAGGUUGAAUCGCUAUUCUUCCUAGCAAAUCUCUGGAUUUGGUGUCUGUCGCUCACGCUUUCAUCAGUGAUUACCAUCAUCAUUCGUCAAGUCGAUGAAGAAUCUCUUUAAAAUUUAGUCGAAUUAGUGAUCAGGGGAUGUAAGGAAGCGGAGGAAGCUACGUCAUUUGUUGCACGGACUGGAUUGUACAUGCUUUUUUUUUCUUAUCGUAGAUUUGAAUGUGCCUAUCCUUGUUUUUUUUUCUUUUUUAUAGUUUUGUUUCUUUUACAAAUUUGAGGCAAAUAGAAAGGAGUGGCUUUAGUAAAAAUUAAUGCUCUUCUGACAAUUUUGCAGCUUUUCCUCUCGAACAAAAAGAAAUAAUGAUAAAAUUAUCGCUUUUCCUCCUCGUGCAAGUGUUAAAUUAUCAUUAUUUCUUUGUCUAUAUGAACUACUCCUGGUAGGAAAAGGCUGGACAAUUAAGUGUAUUCAGAGCAUCAAGAUUCAAGAACUCCCUAGCUUGAGAAAGUACUUCUCGUCUGAUUUUCUUGAAGAAUUUGAAGCUUUAUUUAAUGAUAAAAUUUCCUGUAAUUGUUUAGAUGCAUUUUCAUAUCUAUGUUUUCCUUCUUUUUUUGGGUAGUAGCAUUAGGCCUAGAUUAUACCAUGUUGAGUGAAAAUGGCACUCAUCCAUUUGGGAAACAAUAAGUUGUUACUAUAUCUUCCCCCUUCUUAGUCUUAAGUUGUUGCUAUAUUUUUUUUUUGGAGUGGGGGCUAUUGUUUUUAAUCUUAAAUAAAUGAUGGGAAUAUGUACAAAGAACAUAUUUGUGGCGCACUGUUUACAUAUUUACCAAAACAAUAGUUUUUGAGAUAACUGUUUUCCAAUUUUAGUCAUUCAACCAGAAGUUCUUACGGGAACUACUUCAAAUUAUUUGUUUUUAUGAGGUUUAUACUCUUUAUGUUGUAUUUGUAAUCUAUUUUUCAUAUGAAAUUUGAAAGUAAAAGUUAUUUUAAACAUAUUUAUGAUAUAUAAUACUAUAAGGUCAUUAUUCAAAUUUUACUUUGAACUUAACAAAUUAAAUUAAAUUAAAUCAUAUAAACUGGGAUAGAAGAAAAUACAUCGAUUUAUAUAGUAUAAGUAGCAAUUAACAUAUUUUUGCUUUCUAGACAUAUUUAACAUUAUUUAGCUUAUUGCCCUACGAGGGAGUGCUUUUCUCUUAUCCUUUGUUACUAGUACUUUUUAUUCUCUAAUUUUAUUUUAUUUUAACAAACUUAAAAUGUGAAGGGACUUUAAAAUAUUCUUCAAAUUUUUUAUCAUUUAUUAAAAGUCUUUGUUUUAGACAAAAUCAUCUUUUCACUAUUUUUCCUGAUAUUUAACAGUUGAAAAUUAAUUAAAUAUAUUUAUGGUAAAACCUUUCCUAAUUAGAAGUAAUCAAAAUUAAUAACAACUAAUAUUUUCUUAUUAGUUUAAGAAUUUUAAAUCAACUAAACUUGAUUUUAAAAAGAUUUGAAAAAUCUAGAAAUAAAUAUAAAAGCAUUAGAAUAAGAAAAAUUUAAGAAGUAUCAAAUUUUGUAAAAAAUUAAUUACGUAAUAAGAAUAUAAUCGAUGAUUUUUUAAAGAUCUAACUUUAAAAAUAAGAAAACAAUUUAAAUAAAGAAAAAAAAUUAAUCGCACCACAAAUAUGGUUCAAAUUGAUGCUCUCUCUUAUACUCGAGCAACAAUGGAAAGAGGUACUGCAUGACAAACGCAAAAGUAAUGUUCCAUAAAUGACCUGAAACUUCUAGUGGUAAAAUAUGUAUGUGUUUAUACUAAAAUAUAUAUUUUUAUUUACAUCAUUAUAUUAAAGUGUGAAGAAUGUCUGAAAAGUGAUUUGAGAUUUUUACACUUCAUUAAAUAAUCGUGAGAUUAAAUUAGUUAUAAAAAUGAGAGAACAAAAAGAUGAAAUAAAAUGUGAUUCCAUUUGCUAAGAUGUUAGACGGUGAACACACACCUAUAUAAAAUUAUAAAUUAAACUGAAAGAGUAAAGUUCAGGCAAAACAUAAAAGAACAGAAAAAAGAUGCACAUGUGCAUGAGACAGGCACAAAAUAGCAUGGAGGGAGCGCAUGUUAUUGGAUCUGCCAAUAUCUCCAAUGAUUGCUACCUAAAUACUUUUCUCCUGUUACCUUUACAGCUAAAUUGAGUUCUUGAUCUGACUUGUAAUUCAACACGCUAAUGAUAUUUUUUCUAUUUAUUUAAUUUAUGUAUACUAAACAGUGUGAAAAAAUUACUCUAUUAAUAUAACUUAAUUUGCAGGAGUGCGUUGGAAAUCAUUUUUACUAUAUUAUCAAUAAUUACUUUCUAUAAAAAUUUAUUUAUAGAUAACCUUAUUAGUUUGGUAUGUUAUAUGUGAUAAUACACAGAACUUAAGUCUUCUCUUUCCUUUUCUUCCAAAAACCCCUUUUAUCCUACUUCAGAGUUUUUUUUUUUUUUGAAAAACUACAUAAAGUAUCAAACUUAAGCAUGAGAUUAUAAAAAAAUAACAAUAAUUUUAUUAAAUUACAUUUUGUAACAUCCAUAACAUUAUUUUAUGUGAUCCCUACUUUUUAUCCAUUUGGAGAAGUAACUGUAAGUUUUUCCUAUUUUCACGCCAUUAGCUUUCUCUUUCAUUAUUUUGAAAGAUUUUUUGCCAUUUUUUUCACCCUAAAUUAUAUCUUCCCGCUCCCAUUUUUUUUUACUUUGCACGAUUUUAGCAUCAUCAGUAAAGAUUAUCUUCAUCUAUUUCAGGUAACUCUUAAUUUAGCUAUUGCAUGUUAGCAUUUUUUUGGGGGGAGGGGGGAUAAAUUUCAGAAUUAGCAAACUUUAAUAUAUCUCAAAAUCAGAAUUUAAGGUUUUUGAUUUUAAUGGCUGAACAAACACCAAAGUCACGUACAAAUAGUGGUAUAAGUAAUUCAAAUUUGGUCUAUGAUUGUGGACCAUCUUUUAGUCUUGGGUUAACUCAAGAAGAUGUAGUUAAAGUUGUUUCAAAUUCUUUACAGUCGAAGAAAUCUGAGAAACCAGAGGAGAUUAGGUCGAAGUUUCACAACGAUCUACUGAAGAUGAAAAAAAAAUUGAUAAAAAAACCGUUGAAGAAAUCGCCUUCUUAGAAGGAAAAAAAUUUAAAAAAAUCGAGAAGAAAAGGAAAGCGAAAGAAAUUGAAGGUUUGACUAAGGUUGAUGAGGAU
rnacentral:lncRNA from 1 species